AUUGAACGCUGGCGGCAGGCCUAACACAUGCAAGUCGAACGAGUGGCGGCCGGGUGAGUAAUGUCUGGGGAACUGCCUGAUGGAGGGGGAUACCUACUGGGAACGGUAGCUAAUACCGCAUACCAUCAUAUGUGCCCCGAUGGGAUUAGCUAGUUGGGGGGGUAACGGCGAACCCAGGCGACGAUCCCUAGCUGGUCUGAGAGGAUGACCGUCCAUGUUUGGACUGAGACACGUUCCAGACUCCUACGGGAGGCAGCAGGGGGGAAUCGUGCACAAUGGGCACAAGCCGGAUGCAGCCAUGCAGCGUGGAUGAUGAAGGCCUGCGGGUGGGAAAGUACUCUCAGCUGGGAGUCGUUACCCGCAGACGGGGCACUGGGUAACUCCGUGCCAGCAGCCGCGGUAAUUC
rnacentral:rRNA from 1 species